UAGCUAAGUAGUUAAAGCAUUCGAUUCACGAUCGAAAGAUCGUGAGUUCAACUCUC
rnacentral:tRNA from 1 species